AUGGCGCACAGGGUGCUGGAGCUGACGCUGGUGUCGGGUCACAACCUGAAGGAUGUCAACGUGUUCAGCCGUAUGGAGGUGUACGCCAUCACGUCCGUCUUCGGCGACCCUGGGACGCGGCGGUGCAGCCAGACCGACCGCGACGGCGCCAGGCACCCGUCGUGGGACGAAACGUUCCUGUUCACCGUCCCGCCCACGGCCGCCAAGGCCGCCGCCGCGGGCGCCUACCUCCACGUGCUCCUCCGCACCGAGCGCCUCUUCGGCUUGGAUGACCGCGACGUCGGCGAGGUGUUCAUCCCUGUCGCGGACCUUCUGGCCUGCGCCUGCGUGGGCGGCCCGCCGCGGUGCGCGUCGUACCCGGUCCGGAAGGUGCACUGCACCGAGCACCGGGGCAUGCUCACCGUGGCGUACCGCUUCGGCCCCGUGAUGGUGCCGCUGGCCCAGGGCGAAGGGUUGUGCUGGGACAACGCCGCCGUGGUGGGGUACGAGCUGCCGCCGUGGCAGUAUUGUCCUCCGACGUACGUCUACGCGCCGGAGGCGGCGGUGCCGCGCUACCCUCAGGCGUGUGCUCGCAUGCCGCCGGCGCCCAAGCCAGCCGCCGGCUGUGGCGCGGCCGCUGCGUCGCCAGCGCAGAAAAAUCAUUACGUAAGGAACGACAGCCUCGCGAUGGGGCUCGGCGCGGGGCUGCUCGGCGGAGGCUUCGCGGGGAUGGUGUUCGGCGACAUGCCGCCGUCGGACAGGGCCGCUCAUGAAUCCGCAUACAAGCACACGGCCGCCGACGGCGCAGGAGUUGCCUUCUGA
rnacentral:rRNA from 1 species